AAAAUAAUACCUCAAUUAUUAAUGUUUCGCAAACAAAAUGUUGACGAAAUUAAUUCGUCAAUAACCUGAAAGUGAAGAAAAACAGUUUAAAUUUUAGACCGCUGUUGUGUAGCACAGAGCUACUAAGCUGAUAUACAAGGUGGUCUAAAAAUCUACACAAUCCUUCAGACACUUGCGAUAGUCGAGAAAAAAUGUUUCGAACAAAUGUUUAUCAGCUUUCGAUCUACUACAAAUGGCAAUAUUAUGAAUUACAAAAAAAAUUUCACUUCGAUGAAAAAUCAGGUCACCUUUAUAUUUUUAAAUGGAACAAUGCAUUUCUUUAUACUCCGUUCGAUGCAUUUUUUAAUUCUCUACAGGAAGGCAUUGAGGUACUUGAGUUGAAAAAUGAUUAUUUUUAAAAAUAUGUUAGCUUUAAUGUCGUAAAAUUUGUCGUAUAAAAGAGCAGGAAAACAAGUACUACUUUAUCUUUCGUUGACUUUUAUACGAUGAGUUUUACAAUAUUAAAGCUAAAAUAUCUUGUAAACUAAUCAUUUUUCAACCCAAGUAUCUUAAUAUUUUCUUGCAGGGAAUUGAAGAAUAAUAGUAUAUAAAAAGAUCUAUUAUUCCAUUAAAAAAAUAGAGUUCUGGACUUCUCAUGAGAGCAAAAUCUUUUUUAAGUCCUUAACAUUGCAAUUCGUAGUCGACCGAAAGCUGAUUAACUUUUGUUCGAAACAUCUUUUUGCCCCAUUGUUAUCGGAAGAGCCUGAAAGAUCGUGAGGACUGAUUUUUAGACCACCCUGUAUAUAUACAUCUUCUUAAAACUGUACUUAAAAAUGUUUUAAGUCACUGCAUAAAUUUAGUAAUGCGUUAGGCUUCAGUUUAGUUUAAUUUCCAUCAAAAUAAUAAAUUGUUUACGUAUAUAUUUCACGUGAACGUUUCAUUAUAUACCUACUUAUUAUUUAUAAUUAUAUUUACGCUUUUCAUGUAUCUAAUUUUCUUUUGCAAUUCUUCAUUAAGUUGACUGGCCGUGGUGAGAUAUAACCACUGACGCAAAUUGAAAAUAAGCAGAAAGCAGAAUAUGCGUAUCGAACAAGAAAAUGUAUUACUAUAUAUCACAGGUCAGUUUUUUAUUUAGAAUUAAAUUUUUAUAUAUAUCAACCGAUUUAGUGGCUUUAAUAAAUUUUCAAUAAUCAACGUUCCUGCCAAAAGAGUGCAAACAAUGAAAACAAUAUUUAACGAACGAAUGUUUCUAUAACGAUGAAAAAGACUGCUGUUUUGAUGUAAGUCACGACAUUAAGGAAUGCUGAUACGAUACUUUAGGGCAGGGAAGAAGAUUGAAACACAAGACAUGUGCAUAAUCUCACGUUACAGAUGAGGUAUAUCUAUUAUUAAAUGUGUAAUAAAUUUUUCUUGAAGGCAUAAGACGAAACACAGAAAAUAUUAAGAAUAAUGAUACAACUAUAAAUAUCAUGUCUACAUGUCUAAUUCUUUCUGUGAUACGACUAAUUCGAUACUUUGACUUUUCAUUUUUCGUCUGUUUCCUUUCUUUUUUUUUUUUUUUUUUUUUUUUUGGCGCAAUUUCGCGUCUCGACAUUGCCGUACAUAAAUAAAGCUAUGACCAGCAAGUUUUAUCCUUAUAAUUCUAUACCUUUCUAGUCUCUCCUACACUGAUUUUCUUUGUUCAAAUAACGUUAGAGAUCAACAAGAUUUCGAAAACUGUUUAUUCUUAUGGAAUUAAAUAAAUGAGCAGCUUGCAUAAAUGUCUAAGUAGAUAUUCCCAGUGUAAUGCAAUUGCGAAAUACGCGACAUUUUUCCCGUUGAUUCAUACUCUGCUCGUUGUUACUAUUUAUAAGAGAUGAGUCAAUAACAGGAACACAAAGAAAGGAUAUUUUCACUGGGUAAAAUGAAUAAAAGUGAUAAAGAAGCAACAUUUUCGUGGGAAAUUGUAAUAAUUAUAAUAAAUACAUUUUAUGUACGUUUUUGAAAGAAUCUAGUUCGAACCUCAUGUCACAUAUUCUAGGAUAUAUGUAUUAUCUAUGCAUGCCUAUAAAAGUAGGCAAAAAAAUAUUUCUGAUAGAUUAAAUGGGAAAGAAGUUAGAUUAAUCGCAGUCUGUGCAAGAAUAUACGUAUGUAAUAAUAGAGUGAUAAUACAGAAUAGUCGAUAUGUGGAAAUUCUGGACUAUCAAAAAUGUCCUUCCAGUGCAGACCGGUCCCAUAGUAUAAGUAGCAGCAAAGAAGAUAAAAAAAAAAAAUGUAUCGAAGAAACGCGAAUGAGGUUGGCUGCACAGUUGCGGAUGGAACAAUGUUUGCCAAUCUAAUGGAACCUGCAUCGUAUUACGUAAUGAUCGACAGUAAGAGAACGCGCGCACCUGUGUUGCCUUUUUGAUUCGUGGCCUGUUGCGGAGCACCGGAUAAAGGAUAAAGUUAAUUUCCACGGAAUUUUUCGUCAGCAAUUUGCCAGCUCUUCGAACUUUUCAAGCCUCUUGAAAAGUUUCAAUCAUAACAUCUAGUCGAAGAUUUAUCAUUAAAAAUGAGCAGGAAGUGUCCAAAGCAUAUGUCAUUGCCUAAUUUCGUUUAAAUAUUUCCAACUAAAGUAUAAAGUUAAAUAUUACAACACAUUAAUAUGAUACAUAUUAAUUUUAAUAUUAAUUAAUAUCAUACAUAUUGUCAUGAUACUGAUUACAAUCUGCAAAUGCAACGAUAUGAUCAAAACACAUAUUCAGAAUUAUUAAUUGGUGCAAUUGUAAAGCAUGGAAGAAAUUGUUACGUAAUCACUGCAGACAUGUAAAUUCAUAUUUUCGUGGAUGUAGUUGAGAAAUGAAACUUUGACUAUUACUUCAUCUAUUAAAUAUUCUAGAGAAUACUAUGUUUUGGAUAUUUCAUAUAUUUUUGCAAUCUACAAAUUUGCUACAGCUGUACGAAAAUUUGCAAUCAAAUAAUUACUGUAGGAGUCCCAUAUACUACGCUUCUCAUGAAACGAGUAUUAAUAGCAAUCGAUUAAAAAUUCACCCGAGUAUUCGAUUCAUGACAGAUAAGUUCCCAAGUUACGACUCCAAGAAUGACACAUUUCCACAUAAAUUGCAGUCAUUUGACCCAAAUGAUAUAUACCCAUUAUAAAUCCAAGAUAAAUGUUUGAUUGAUGGCUUAAUAUUUUGUUUUUUGAUUAUGUCGUGUUCUGUUAGAACAAAGUCUUGUAAAUUUUAUUCCGUAGAUUCGAAACAUUGAGUAAGUGAAAAUAUCAAGUGUUACAAUGGAACAUGUUAUCUGUGUUCAUAUAUUAUUGACUUUAAUCUUUUAUUCGUUAUCUAUUACAAAAAAUGUUCUACUUAUAAAUACAUUUCUAUCUAUUAUGUAUAUACUGUGGUAAUUUAUUUAAAAUACCUCCGUUACAUAAUCGCACAACGUAAUAUCGUAACCACGCUAAAUGUUAUUUAAAGGCAUUUUAGAACUAUUUAAAUAUUUUCAUCGAAUUCUUAUGAAAAUGAAACUUGAUCUUUUGCGGGCGAAAGAAACUGAAAUUUCGUUUCCAAAACAAAUAUACUUAAAUAUGCAUUUUUCUGAUGAUAAUAAUUUGUUAUAUUCUCUACUUUAUUUUUCAUAUGUGAAUAUAAAAGCUUAAAAAAAGAUAUAGAACAUUUUAUAUAUGUAUGUAUAAGGUACAGAUGAUCUUGUGCGUGUAACUUAAAUAAUUUUUGCUUAAAUAUUAAUCUUUUGAAAAACAUUGACAUAUACAUUUAUUUAUUUAGACUUAUUUGCUAAUUGUUUUAACUUAUUUCAAAAGAAAUAAAUAUUAUUCCAUGUAAAUUUCUCAAAUUAGAUAAAAUCCUCUCAUGAAUAGUUGACCUUAACACUAACCUUACCAGGCCUGGUCAAAUGCACGGUUUUAAAAUUUAAUUUAAAAUUGAACAUUCAUUGUUAUUUCUUUUGUUCAUCUAACUUUAUAUAAAUUCUUAUAUUAUUUGAUUAAUCAGUUUCUCAAUUUUUAUUAAUAUAAGAAUAAAUUAUUUCUUUCUUUAUCAACGUCCCACAUCAUGUGUUAAUGAAGCAUUUUAAUUAAACUGCUAAAAAGAUGCCUGAUAUAAUACAAACAGGUCACAUAAUUUAUUUUUAGAUCCGUUAUAUAAUUUUUCAAAAUAUGAUGCAAUUAAUCAUUCUCUAGAAAUAAUUACAAGUACUAUUAUGAACUAUUGUCUGUAAAAUAGUUUAAUAUUAUUGUGGAAAUACAUAUAUUCUACGAUUAUAUAUUGUGGCAUAUAUAUAGAAAAAUUAUUUACAACUUGUUUAUUAAAACAUAUGUAUGAAUUUAACACAAUAUCCCUGAAAAAUUGCAAUACUCUUUUGUUUUUUCUUCAAAAAUUAAAAAAUACAUUGUGCUAUACGACCAAAAUCACAAUAUUUCUCGUUCAUUUCUGUGUUUUAAUACACAGCUUAAAUCUAUAAUUUACAAAAGAGAAAUAGAAUGAAGAUAAUUAAGAAUACAAUGUACUGAAAGCGAUCCUCACAUAAGUACAGUUUUAUUUUAAGAAUAUAGCUAAUGAUGCCUGUUGAUAAAAUAAGGCAUUAACAUCACUCAUCCCAUGAAAUAAUACGUGCAAAGUAAUUCAAAUAAGAAUGCCGCAUGCGACGCUCAUGAUUCAUCGUAUUCUUGUCUCAUACGCAGAGUUCCUAUAUCAAGGGGUUAACGAGAAUCAGAGAGAAAGCAUAGUUUGUUGCCCGUACGAUGGGCAAAUCUGAAUGGAUGGUAACAAAAUGCAUAGACAUCACGCGAAUCAACUAACCUUCAGGCUUAACGCAUACUAAGCAGGAAUCAAAUUUGUCUUUUAUUAAAUUUUUUUCGAGAUCCAACGUCUAACUAGUAAUUUAUCGUAAGAUCAUUUAGCGUAAUUGAAUCUCCGUUAGAAUCUCGGAAAAUCUCAGACCAUUUAAACGACUGAAUCUACUAAAGCAAUUUUGCUAAUUUUUAAAAGUUGGAAUGUAGCAUUAAAACAGAUAAAAUAAACAUGUACCUAUGUAUGUGUGUUAUCAAUUGCGAUUUUUGAAGAAAAAUUUGAAUUUAUCAAUAUCUCAAUUAUUUUUACCGAUAGAAAAAAUGGUUUCAAAACGAAACUAAUUCUUCAGAAGAACGAACAUUGUGAUAUAGUAUGUAUAAUUGGUUCAAAAUUUCUCGAGUUCUCACGCUUAUCGAUAUUUUUUUAAAUGUCUUUACAAGUUAUUUUUACUUUUAUAAAAAAAAGCUAUUAAGAUAUUUGUGUUUGAAAACAAAUAGUUUAAAACGUAUUUUAAUCGUAUAUAUUUAACACGUGCCACCGAAAUUUUUAAUGAAUCAAUUAUGUGUAUAACGUGGAACUUGUUGAAUAUAAGAAUUGGAAAUUUUUAGGUGGUUUUGUAGCUCUAAGAUACGAUGUAUUUAUUUGCUAGGUGACCUGAUAUUUCUGCAUAAUACUGUACAUGUAUGUACAAAAAGACAGACGAGAUAUUUGGUGCAUAGAUACAAAAGUGUUAACAAAGUUGAGGAAAAUUACAGCAUUUACGAAACGAUUGUGCGUUGGUGGACAAGCUCUUGUUUGUCUAACAAAUAACCGAGAGCAGUAGCACGCUUGGCAAGGCCAAGAAAUGAUAAAGAUGACUAGUCUCUGGGAUAAAGUGAACGAGUGGACGGUUUUCUUGUUUCCUUAAAUGGUGUCGACGUAAUGACUCAUCCAUCCAGCGUUAUUUUCAUGCAAUUGACGUAACAUACUCGCGGUUGGACCGUUUUAACAAAACCAACAGCGCACCUCGUUCGAGCACAAUGCACGCACAACCUGUGUGCGCUCUGUCCUUCUCCUUUUUUCACUUUUAUCACGCCUAUAAAACACUAGCUGAUAAGCUGGCUAAGCUACUUUGCUAAAGAACAGUCGCCGAUAUCUCUUCGUUUUGUAGUACAGCUCUUUGCUUUACGGAACUCUUAAGGGCAACGUCAUCGAUAUAACGUGUCGAAACGCACAGAUAACUCAAACUCUCCUGACGGACUUGUGCUUCGCCCGAUAACGAUCUUGCCUUCUGCAUGAUAUAUUUACGCGAAGAUGAUUACAUCGUAGAUGGCGAUCGAACCGUGGCUGACUCGAGCGUAAAUAAAUAAAUACACCGGCUCGCGCCGGUAUUCGAACGCUUGUAGACAUUGACUUUUAUGAGUAGUAUUACCUAUGUACGUUAUACUUACAUGUUUGAAAAUUUCAUUGACACUGUCAAUCACUAUCUUGAUUAUGUUGGUCAGUUGUUCGAAGUAAAUCUGAAGGAAUCAUCCGGUUUUUCUUGAACCACUCAAAUAUUAAAAACAAAAAAAAAAUGAAUGAUGCGAAAAAAUGCACGACAUUCUGAUGGACCUAUUAUGCUCUUGCGUAUUUGACCUUGCAGUAACCUUGAAAUCUUUUAUUAAAAACAGAAGAUUUUUAAAUAGAUAACUGCAUUUUUUAUUGCAUAUCCUUGUAGCUAACAGUCUGACGUUUUCCAAGCACUACCAACUCUUACUCUUGUCACCAUCCUUAUAACUAACUCAUACUUGAAACUUUAUGAUUUGACUACACUUUAAACUUCUUAAUAAACUAACUUUAAAAUUCAGCCUGUUGUCGGCAUUAGCGUUGCCCGAUGUACACUACGGGGACGUAUAAAGACGUUAUUCGUGAUGUUACUAAGUGCCAGUGUUGAUCAAAAUUUUACUCGAAUAACAGUAAACGAAUAAAAAUAAAGAAUCAAAUGUUAUUCAUCACUGAUGAAUAAAUAUCCAAUCGAACAAGUACUUAUCUGAAUAAGAAAUUAAUCGUGCAGGAAUUUGCCUAAAUAAAAAUUUGAUCGAAUAAUUUAUUCAGAUAGAAUUAUAUAUUAUAUACAUAUUAAUAUUAAUAUUUUAUAUUAUAUUAUAUAUAUUAUUAUAAUUAUAUUAUUUUCGCUAUAUUAAUUAUAUAUUCUUAUUAUUAUAUUAUACUUUAUUUUAAUAUAAUAUUUAUAUGGUACAUCAAGGGUAGAUAUGGUACUGAACGUGAGAAAUAUUUUCAGGCUACAUUGUUGUAAUAUUUUAUAUGUUUUUGUAACUAACUUUUUUCAAAUGACAGAUUAGAAAGUGUAUCGUUUCUUGUAAAUUAUUAUUUGAUAAAUUAAUAGUGAGAAUUGUACCGGUACCUAUAUAUACUUAUACACAAUUAAACAGAACAAUUAUUCGUAUUAUGCGAACAAUUGUGCAAUCAUUAAUCAUAAUAAAUAUAGAAAAUAAUUGUUACGAGUAACAAAUAAUUAUUCCACUGAUACGAAUUUAUUCCAUUAAUUAUCUUGGAUAAAUAUUUAUUCGAAACAAUUCGAAUAAUGCCCAACUCUACUACAUAUUCGUAUGGCAGUGUAGAUGGACAAGCGCGCAAUUUUCUAACGUUUCCGAAGCAGUCAGUACGAACAAAUACUUUUAGGUAAUACCUAAGUAUUCCCUAAGGAAUACACAAGUUUGUAUUUUCUUGAAAAUAUUUGACUGUCAGCUACAAAAAUAUGUAAUACAAAAUGGAAGUCUCUAUUUAAAAAUUAUAACGUUACCUUCGUAGCAGGUUUCAAGAUCAUCAUAAGGUCAAACACACAAGAUACAUAGUAUAUCUCCGUGGAUAUCGUGCAAUUUUUGUCUGAAACAUUUUUUUGUAUCAUUCAUGUUUUUCGAGACAUUUAAGCGGCCCGAGAUAAACCGGACACACUCUAUAUAGAAGUAGAAAUGACGAGAUAUGCAUGUACAUAUUUAGUAAAAGUAUAUGUACAUUUCCCAGAAAUCAUAAAAGCGUUGAAACAUAUUUUUAAAGUAUUUGUAUUUAGAAAUUAGUGCACAAGAUGAAGGCGAAGAAAGGCAAAUUUUUUCAGUAAAUAUGUAGAUUACUGCAACUGCGAUAGAAGAUGUAAAAGAGCAAUUGAAGGUGCAAAAAUCCAAGUCCACCUUUUACAAAAAUUUGACUCCUUGAAGUUUUAUAUAUUUUUAUAUACUGAUCGAUCGACGCAAGAAUCGGACAAGUCCAAUGCAUUCAUAACAAUUUUUGGACUUACACAAUGUGACCUUUGGAAAGAAGAAUCAGCUAUGUCCUGGACUUGUCCGGCUUUUGUUCUAAUAUAUAGCGUUAAUGAUGGCAUUAAUGUAGCGUUAAUCUGUCAGCCAGUGUUUCAAACGUUUAGUAAAAAUAUCCUGUUAAUCGCGUGUCUUUUUUCUCGUCGAUUCAAAACAAAAUAUUUCACUUCAAAUUCUCAGCAUUUUGGUCCAAAAACUUAACCUAAAUCUAAAUGUUGGGAAAGAUAGGUACAUUUUCCAAAAAUGUACGAAGUACCAUUUCUUAUAUCAUUUGCCAUACUAAUGCCUCGCUAAGUCCGAAAUAUUAGUGUAAUAGCUUCAACAAGUUGUACUUAAUUCAGUUUCAUUCAAAUUUCUCACAACAUUAAAAAUCUGCACUUGCCCGAUUUUUGUACCAAGGUCUUCAAUUACGAAUGUCGCUAUCAGAAUCGUUUCGUGUCAAGGAGACGCUAAAAAAAACGAAAGUACUCUUGUAUCGCGUGUCCGUAGUCCAAGAAUUAUUAUUUCCAUAAGAUCUCGAACAACAUGAAUAAUCGCGAAUGACGCAUUGUUUCAUUUAAUAAUAAAUAGAUACAUAUAAUCCUGCAUGUACCGAGAAAAUCCAUAUGAUACUUACUGAAAGAUGAGAUUUUAUAUCAACAGAAGAUUGUAGCGUGAUGUGCUCUGUUUCAUUAACGGUGCUAAUUCUCUCAUUAAGCUGUUAUUUCUGACAGAUUGUGAGGACUUAAUUAUUAAGAUAUGUAUAAUUAACAGAUUUGUAAAUCAACCAACAGAUGUUGAAUUAACAAAAGGCUAUUUCCAACAAGAUGAAGUAAUCACACGUGCGUAUCUAUAGUAUAAGACACGCUUCUAAUAAUAGAAAUUGACAAUUUUCUUCGUCACUUAAUUUUUUUCUUUCUUUUCUUUUCUUUUCUUUUUUUUUUUUUUUUUUUUUUUUUUUUUUUUUUUUUUUUUUUUUUUUUUUUUUUUUUUUUUUUUUUUUUUUUUUUUUUGUA